CUCCACCAAAAAGGGCACGGGUUGAAAAGAUUGUUGAUCCUGCCCCUCAGUUGGGCAGUUCGUCGCCCCCGCUCCUAGAUGAUCCUAUGAUCAAGGAUCUUCUCCGCAUCGGUUCCCAAUUUAUUGGGUACCGUGAAUAUGCUAAUAGAGCCGAAGAGAAAUUUGCAGAGGCUAACGAACGCGCCGACGCA